rnacentral:rRNA from 1 species
CCUACGGGGGGCAGCAGUGGGGAAUAUUGCACAAUGGGCGAAAGCCUGAUCCAGCAACGCCGCGUGAGCGAUGACUGCCCUCGGGGCGUAAAGCCCUGUCCUCAAGGAAGAUAAUGACGGUACUUGAGGCGGAAGCCCCGGCUAACUACGUGCCAGCAGCCGCGGUCAUACGUAGGGGGCUAGCGUUAUCCGGAAUUACGGGGCGUAAAGGGUGCGUAGGUGGUUUCUUAAGUCAGAGGUGAAAGGUUACGGCUCAACCGUAGUAAGCCUUUGAAACUGGGGAACUUGAGUGCAGGAGAGGAGAGUGGAAUUCCUAGUGUAGCGGUGAAAUGCGUAGAUAUUAGGAGGAACACCAGUGGCGAAGGCGGCUCUCUGGACUGUAACUGACACUGAGGCACGAAAGCGUGGGGAGCAAACAGGAUUAGAUACCCCUGUAGUC